rnacentral:rRNA from 1 species
AAGGAAUAUUGGUCGAUGGACGGAAGUCUGAACCAGCCAUGCCGCGUGAAGGAUGAAGGUCCUCAGGAUUGUAAACUUCUUUUAUAUGGGACGAAAGGCAUUUUUUCUAAAGUGUUUGACGGUACCAUAGGAAUAAGCACCGGCUAACUCCGUGCCAGCAGCCGCGGUAAUACGGAGGGUGCAAGCGUUAUCCGGAUUCACUGGGUUUAAAGGGUGCGUAGGCGGACUUGUAAGUCCGGGGUGAAAUCUCUGAGCUUAACUCAGAAACUGCCUUGGAUACUAUAGGUCUUGAAUGUUGUGGAGGAUAGCGGAAUAUGUCAUGUAGCGGUGAAAUGCAUAGAUAUGACAUAGAACACCAAUUGCGAAGGCAGCUGUCUACACAGAUAUUGACGCUGAGGCACGAAAGCGUGGGGAUCAAAC